UAAUGUAAUAAGGUUUAAAUCAAAUCGAAUAUAUUGGCAAUAAGAAAACUUAAAUAAAUACGCAUUCAAUGGAAUUCCUAGGGCAUAUAAAAUUCGGUGCGCUGAUGAAUGACGAUUUUAUACAAAACAUUGAUAAUUUAUAGCUCAUAAACCGAACAUGACGCAAACGAACUUUCUGGAUUAGAUCCCACGGUUUUCAGCUCUGUCGUACGUCUACCACCGCAGCACAAGCAGUCAGCCUAGCCAUUACCGACAUCGCCUUCCCUAUUGAAUCAAGCUUUACCUCAUCGGCUCUGACCGCAGGUCGGCCUGUCCGGUGGACAGAAAUACCUUUGGUCCUUCGGCUCAUAUGAGCGAGUGUGCACUCGAUGACGGCUACUGACUCGGGACACGAUUCCUGUCGCGAUUGGCUGGGCGACCUUUGAGUCCGCGCACUGCCAUGACCGUCUGCCUUGCAUCCCACGCUGUUUUCUCCGCGGGUGAUUCCGCCGUAACUCCUCGUCCUGUCAGGAAGUCCAAGGGAUGUUCUCCUGGCUGGACCGUGGCACACACCGGCUGUCCUUCUGCGUGCCAUAGCCAUGAUGCCGCGUCUGUGUUGCUGAGUCGAGCGUCCCGUCCACUGCAGCAGAGACCAGUGAUCGACGGCGGAAUUGUUGGUUCACGCCGACGGGAAAUAAUGUCAACAAUCCCGACAUUGAUACGCCGCCGACUCAAGCACUGGGCUUCAGCUUCGAGACGUAUGACUUAUGUACUCUACGCUUUGGCAGAAACCGAGUCGUAUCCGAUUUCCCACCGCCAGACGGAGCCCUGCCCAGCAUUACCGAGGCCAAUUCAACACAGACGGAGUCCGAUCCCAGCCAGAUAGAAUCAUACCCCAGCAGGAUAGAAGCGCACCUCUUGCAAGAUCCGACAAAAUCAAGUCAUCGUCAUCUUGGAAAUGGCCAUCAAGGACUUUGACUGUGGCAACUAUGGGAGCGGCUACGCGGGCUACUAGAUUCUAGAUAGAUCUCAUCGUUGUUAGGUUUAAGGAUAUACAAAGCUAUACAUUUAGAAAGUAGAUAUUAAUGCUGUACACUUGUUUAUUUAUUUAUACU
rnacentral:misc_RNA from 1 species